rnacentral:rRNA from 1 species
AGUGAACGCUGGCGGUAGGCCUAACACAUGCAAGUCGAACGGCAGCACAGUAAGAGCUUGCUCUUACGGGUGGCGAGUGGCGGACGGGUGAGGAAUACAUCGGAAUCUACUUUUUCGUGGGGGAUAACGUAGGGAAACUUACGCUAAUACCGCAUACGACCUACGGGUGAAAGCAGGGGAUCUUCGGACCUUGCGCGAUUGAAUGAGCCGAUGUCGGAUUAGCUAGUUGGCGGGGUAAAGGCCCACCAAGGCGACGAUCCGUAGCUGGUCUGAGAGGAUGGGCGGCAACACGGGAACUGAGACACGGUCCAGACUCCUACGGGAGGCACCAGUGGGGAAUAUUGGACAAUGGGCGCAAGCCUGAUCCAGCCAUACCGCGUGGGUGAAGAAGGCCUUCGGGUUGUAAAGCCCUUUUGUUGGGAAAGAAAAGCAGCAGGUUAAUACCCCGCUGUUCUGACGGUACCCAAAGAAUAAGCACCGGCUAACUUCGUG